rnacentral:misc_RNA from 1 species
GAUGAAGAACGUAGCGAAAUGCGAUAAGUAAUGUGAAUUGCAGAAUUCCGUGAAUCAUCGAAUCUUUGAACGCACAUUGCGCCCCCUGUAUUCCGGGGGGCAUGCCUGUCCGAGCGUCAUUGCAACCUUCAAGCGCGGCUUGUGUGUUGGGUCUCGUCCCCCGUGGACGGGCCCGAAAGGCAGUGGCGGCGUCCCGACAUGGUGCCCGAGCGUAUGGGAAUCCUCUUCCGCUCGAAUCGGCCCAUGCGGCGCUGGUCGUAACCAAAUUUUUUACCGGUUGACCUCGGAUCAGGUAGGGAUACCCGCUGAACUUAAGCAUAUCAAUAAGCGGAGGA